rnacentral:tRNA from 4 species
GGGCCUGUAGUUCAAUUGGUUAGAACGCACCGCUCAUAACGGUGUUGUUGGGGGUUCAAGUCCCUCCGGGCCCACCA